rnacentral:rRNA from 1 species
GACGUAGGGGGCCAGCGUUGCUCGGAAUUACUGGGUGUAAAGGGUUCGUAGGCGGUGUGGCAAGUCGGGAGUGAAAUCUUUGGGCUCAACCCAGAGUCUGCUUCCGAAACUGCUGUGCUUGAGUGUGGGAGAGGCGCGUGGAAUUGCAGGUGUAGCGGUGAAAUGCGUAGAUAUCUGCAGGAACACCCGUGGCGAAAGCGGCGCGCUGGACCACUACUGACGCUGAGGAACGAAAGCUAGGGGAGCAAACAGG